AGCAUAUCAAUAAGCGGAGGAAAAGAAACUAACAAGGAUUCCCUUAGUAACUGCGAGUGAAGAGGGAAAAGCUCAAAUUUAAAAUCUGGCAGUGUUUCACUGUCCGAGUUGUAACCUAGAGAAGUGUAACCUGCGCUGGACCGUGUAUAAGUCUCCUGGAAUGGAGCAUCACAGAGGGUGAGAAUCCCGUCUUUGACAUGGACCACCAGCGCAUUGUGGUUGUGCUCUCAACGAGUCGAGUUGUUUGGGAAUGCAGCUCUAAAUGGGUGGUAAAUUCCAUCUAAAGCUAAAUAUUGGCGAGAGACCGAUAGCGAACAAGUACCGUGAGGGAAAGAUGAAAAGAACUUUGGAAAGAGAGUUAAACAGUAUGUGAAAUUGUUGAAAGGGAAACGUUUGAAGUCAGUCGCGUUGGUUGGGGAUCAGCCUGACAUUGUUGGGUUUACUUCCUGGUCGACGGGCCAACAUCAGUUUUGACUGCCAGAAAAAGGCCAAAGGAAUGUGGCACCUUUGGGUGUGUUAUAGCCCUUGGUCGUAUAUGGUGGUUGGGACUGAGGAAAGCAGCGUGCCGAAAGGCCGGGUUUCGACCACGUUCACGCUGAGGAUGUUGGCAUAAUGGCUUUAAGCGACCCGUCUUGAAACACGGACCAAGGAGUCUAACAUGCAUGCGAGUGUUUGGGUGGAAAACCCUUACGCGUAAUGAAAGUGAAAGUUGAGAUCCCUGUCGCGGGGNAGCAUCGACGCCCGGACCAGAACUUUUGGGACGGAUCUGCGGUAGAGCACGUAUGUUGGGACCCGAAAGAUGGUGAACUAUGCCUGAAUAGGGUGAAGCCAGAGGAAACUCUGGUGGAGGCUCGUAGCGAUUCUGACGUGCAAAUCGAUCGUCAAAUUUGGGUAUAGGGGCGAAAGACUAAUCGAACCAUCUAGUAGCUG
rnacentral:rRNA from 1 species